GCCCCCCCGGGCCGCGCGCCGCCAUCUAGCACCACCAUCGUCGCCGCUCCCUCGACGGUUGGAGCUCCCUUCCCACAGCCCGAUCUAGAUGCCCCUCCCUGUCAUAUCUGAGCACCACGCUCUGCCCGUCCACAACCAGCCUCCUCAAUCUCCAACCUGUUCUACAUCCCCUCUCCACCCGUCCACAAUCAGCCUUCUCAAUCUCCAACCUCCUGCAGCCGUCCCUCUCUGAUUUGGAUCAAAGUAGAUCCAUCGAUGGAGGCAGGGGAGCAGCAGAUGUGGAGCCAUCAGACGAGUAGGAUCAGCUCGGGAAACAUGAGGGAAGGGAUGGAUCUGGUGGAUGCCAGGGAGCAGCAGAUGGAGCAAAAGAAAUAAAGAAUCAGUUGCUCCCGCUGCUACCUCCCAGCCGCGUCCCACCCCGUUAGGAACGUUGCCCGGCUCCCCUGCUCCUAUCGCCCCACCUUUUCCUAGCCAAUAAUCAAGGGGUGCAGUAGAGGAGCACCAGUACCGGUGUAGAAUGCAUCUGCAGUGGUGCGGGUUGGGGACCGAGUGACGGAUUCAGGUCAAGGGGGUUUUCGGCUAGCGCAGAAGCAGGCUGCAUAAGAAUGCAAUAAUGUGAUUAAGCAAGGCAGGCGUCUGGGAAACAAGAAUGGUGAUGGCUUGCUCAACUAGAAGUUCUACAAUAAAUGGAUGGAUAUUUUCUCCUGGAAUGCAGAUGGAUGUCUGAUUGAGAAGAUGAAUCAAGCAUCCUGCUAUGAUAUGACAGAGCAGUAUCGUGAGUACAUAGGGAAGCAGCUCAAUAUCCGGCAUACUACAAUUUCAAUUUCUACAAUGCAGAUGAAUGCUAUGCAUUUUUCGGUGUAUGAGUUCUUUGUGAUUUCCUCCCAUAUUUUUGAUCCAGACUUUCAUGAUACACACACAUACUAUAAACUUCAGUACUACUAAUUGCUAGCUUUAUUUGGUCAUAUCUGAUUCUCUGUUGUUAAUCCGCUCCUACAUUGCCAAGCUCAGUUUGAUUAUACAUGGAGUGUGUUUUAUUCACUGAUGAUAUUUCGAUAUUUUUAAAUAUAUGGCAAGCAAAACUCUUGGUGUUAGCGCUUAUUCUUUUUAUUUUAGAUGGUUUACUACGGUACUUGAGUCAUUUAUUGAUUUAUUUUGGAUGUUGAAUUGUACCAUGCUCCAGGAAGUUGAUAUCUGACUGUCUAGAGUUUGUGCCUGAUUUAGAUUGACCAUGGUAUGGACCAAUCCAAGGUCCAUCAGGAUGUAAACAGUGUCCGUAAAUUCCUUCUGGACCAGUACAUCAAUAAAAAAAACAUGUCAAUGCACAACACUCCUACAUUAACCAUUCUCAACAAAGUCAUGCCUGUAUUAUGAGAAAUCAGAUCAACGUUGGUGGGCAAGAAGUUUCAGUUUUCUUUUAUAAUUCUAUUGAUGAUUGAUUAGUUAUUGGUUAUGCUCUCGAAGAAGUUGCCGAUGGAGAUAGCUGGGGUGUCAUCGUCCUUCCUUGAUCUGGGCAUAUGUGCCGGCACUUGCAGAUUCCAUCCCAUAGAGAAAUGGCACUGCUUCUCUGCUACCUAUGACUCAUUUAUGUGCUGGCCAACUUUCAUUUUCAUGCCAAGCAGGGUUGAUUAUCAGAGGGCUAGGAAAGAUGGAGCAUGAGCGCGAGCAUCGACUACGAUGAGUUCAUCAGGGCGACAGUGUACAUCAACAAGCAGUAGCAGGAGGAGCACCUGCUGGCUGCCUUUGUCUACGUCGACAAGGACGGCAGUAGGUGCAUCACCGUAGAAAAAGCUGGAAGAGGCUUGCCAAGAGUACAACAUACAUGUUGUAUCAACACAUCAUUAGGGACGUCGACAAUGACAACAUGCCAUUGUCGAAUCGACGAUGACGAGUUUGUGGUGAUGGUGGAGAAGGGGAUCACCAGAGGCACAUCUCCGACGUUAUCAUUCUCCAUGGAGCGGAUGGCCUCAGUUAGCAUCAUGGCUCCUCCACCAGUCGAUCACUAUUGUGCCAAUUGCAUAUAAUUAAAAAGAUUGAUUAUACUGUACUUGUAUACAACCUAGCUCCCCACAUUAUUUGUUUACUAUGCAAGAUAGAUGUGGUACCAGUAAGAACUCAUGUUGCUUUAGAUACAGAGUAUAUCUUUUGACUGAAUUUUCAUAUACA